GGAGUCUAUGAAUCAAAGGUGUCAGAAGCAAAUAGACAGUGGAACAAGACGACAGCCAUGACUAACUGCGGGGCUAAAAUGAGGCUGAAGAGGGAAAGGGAUGGAACACUUGUCAUAAAAGAGAUAGUCUGGGAACACAACCACGGGCUAUAGCUCUCCCCCCAAAUGCUUGUCUUCUUGCACUCCCACAAAAACUUUGACAAAACAAUCUUGGAGUAGAUCAAGUACCUGCAGUUCAAAGGCAUUGAACACGCACAAAUCAUGAGCAUACUGGGCGGCGAUGACCCCGGUAGCUACUUCCUCGAAAUGAAUGCCGAAGACCUGAUUAACAUCAAAGCAAAGAAUUCAAGGAUGGAUGAUGUGGACGAUGUCCUAAAGACUGUCAACUUCUUUAGGGAGAUGAAAGCUAUAAACAGGGAAUUCUUCUGUGACAUGCAACUUGAUGAGUCCGACAGAGGGGCAUAUCAAGAUUUUGGUGACUGUGUAACAAUUGAUACCACAUAUAAGACCAACAAGUACCAUAUGCCACUUGGGGUGUUUGUGGGCACUAACAACCACUUACAGACUACAUUCUUUGCUUUCGCCCUAAUAAGAGAUGAGGAUGCAGAUUCAUUCAGAUGGCUGUUCAAGACAUUUUUAAGGUGCAUGAGAGGGAAGGCUCCUACAUGCAUCCUCAUAGACCAGUGCCCGACAAUGGCUUUGGCAAUCCUAGAUGCUUUCAGGUACACAGUACAAAAGUUGUGCCGCUGGCACAUUAUGAAGAAGUACAGGGAACACCUCACAUACCUGUACAACCUCCACGAAGACUUUAAGGAUGAAUUCACAUCAAUCCUCAACUAGCCCCUAAUGCCAACUGAGUUUGAGGCUGCCUGGAAAGGACUCAUGGAUAAGUACAACCUCCAUGAUGAUGCCACGAUGGUGGCCAUGUGGAACGAGCGUGAGAGAUGGAUAUCAGCUUACUUCAAAGAAAUUUUCUGCGCCAAAAUGACAUCCACACAACAAAGUGAGAACAUGAACUAUGUGCUCAAGAAGAACUUCGCAAGUGAGAGACAAAACCUCCACCGGUUUGUCAGCCACGUAAACUCCUGCGUCAAAACCAGGAGGCAGAUAGAGAACUAG
rnacentral:rRNA from 1 species